UACGAAGGGUGCAAGCGUUAAUCGGAAUUACUGGGCGUAAAGCGUGCGUAGGCGGUUUCUUAAGUCCGUUGUGAAAGCCCUGGGCUCAACCUGGGAACUGCGAUGGAUACUGAGGAGCUGGAGUACGGUAGAGGAAGGUGGAAUUCCUGGUGUAGCGGUGAAAUGCGCAGAUAUCAGGAGGAACACCAAUGGCGAAGGCAGCACUCUGGGACGUGACUGACGCUGAGACGCGAAAGCGUGGGGAGCAAACAGG
rnacentral:rRNA from 1 species